rnacentral:rRNA from 1 species
AAGGCCUUUCGGGGUACACGAGCGGCGAACGGGUGAGUAACACGUGGGUGAUCUGCCCUGCACUUCGGGAUAAGCCUGGGAAACUGGGUCUAAUACCGGAUAUGACCUCCUAUCGCAUGGUGGGUGGUGGAAAGAUUUAUCGGUGCAGGAUGGGCCCGCGGCCUAUCAGCUUGUUGGUGGGGUAAUGGCCUACCAAGGCGACGACGGGUAGCCGACCUGAGAGGGUGACCGGCCACACUGGGACUGAGACACGGCCCAGACUCCUACGGGAGGCAGCAGUGGGGAAUAUUGCACAAUGGGCGAAAGCCUGAUGCAGCGACGCCGCGUGAGGGAUGACGGCCUUCGGGUUGUAAACCUCUUUCAGCAGGGACGAAGCGCAAGUGACGGUACCUGCAGAAGAAGCACCGGCUAACUACGUGCCAGCAGCCGCGGUAAUACGUAGGGUGCAAGCGUUGUCCGGAAUUACUGGGCGUAAAGAGUUCGUAGGCGGUUUGUCGCGUCGUUUGUGAAAACCAGCAGCUCAACUGCUGGCUUGCAGGCGAUACGGGCAGACUUGAGUACUGCAGGGGAGACUGGAAUUCCUGGUGUAGCGGUGAAAUGCGCAUAUAUCAGGAGGAACACCG